rnacentral:lncRNA from 1 species
CAAACCAUGUCUCGUGUUAACAUUUGCAAUAACACCUUCGAGCUGAUUAACAGAAAUCUCUUGAGGCACAUAAGCCAUAUUCAACAUUUUCAACAGGGUGUUACGAUGUGCCUCGGAACACAUUAAUAGAGAGAGAAUAGAGAUUUUUGACGGUGUCUGGUUCAACUGAUCCACGAUCUUGUAAUCACUUUUCUUGAUGGUUC